UGGUCAAGUUAUUAAGGGUGCAGGGCGGAUGCCUUGGCACUAGGAGCCGAUGAAGGACGUGAUAAGCUGCGAUAAGCUUCGGGGAGUUGCACGUAAACUUUGAUCCGAAGAUUUCCGAAUGAGGAAACUCACUUAGAGUAAUGUCUAAGUAUCAUUAAGUGAAUACAUAGCUUAAUGAGGGGAACUCAGGGAACUGAAACAUCUAAGUACCUGAAGGAAGAGAAAGAAAUUCGAUUCCGUAAGUAGCGGCGAGCGAACGCGGAUUAGCCCAAACCAAUAAAGUUUUCUUUAUUGGGGUUGCGGACAUAUCAUAACG
rnacentral:rRNA from 1 species